AGUGAACGCUGGCGGUAGGCCUAACACAUGCAAGUCGAACGGCAGCACAGUAAGAGCUUGCUCUUACGGGUGGCGAGUGGCGGACGGGUGAGGAAUACAUCGGAAUCUACUUUUUCGUGGGGGAUAACGUAGGGAAACUUACGCUAAUACCGCAUACGACCUACGGGUGAAAGCAGGGGAUCUUCUGACCUUGCGCGAUUGAAUGAGCCGAUGUCGGAUUAGCUAGUUGGCGGGGUAAAGGCCCACCAAGGCGACGAUCCGUAGCGGGUCUGAGAGGAUGAUCAGCCACACUGGAACUGAGACACGGUCCAGACUCCUGCGGGAGGCAGCAGUGGGGAAUAUUGGACAAUGGGCGCAAGCCUGAUCCAGCCAUACCGCGUGGGUGAAGAAGGCCUUCGGGUUGUAAAGCCCUUUUGUUGGGAAAGAAAAGCAGCAGGUUAAUACCCCGCUGUUCUGACGGUACCCAAAGAAUAAGCACCGGCUAACUUCGUG
rnacentral:rRNA from 1 species